GACGAACGCUGGCGGCGUGCUUAACACAUGCAAGUCGAACGGAAAGGCCCUGCUUUUGUUGGUUGCUCGAGUGGCGAACGGGUGAGUAACACGUGAGUAACCUGCCCUUGACUUUGGGAUAACUCCAGGAAACUGGGGCUAAUACCGGAUAGGAGCUCCUGCUGCAUGGUGGGGGUUGGAAAGUUUCGGCGGUUGGGGAUGGACUCGCGGCUUAUCAGCUUGUUGGUGGGGUAGUGGCUUACCAAGGCUUUGACGGGUAGCCGGCCUGAGAGGGUGACCGGCCACAUUGGGACUGAGAUACGGGCCAGACUCCUACGGGAGGCAGCAGUGGGGAAUAGUGCAAGAUGGGCGGAAGCCUGAUGCAGCAACGCCGCGUGCGGGAUGACGGCCUUCGGGUUGUAACCCGCUUUCGCCUGUGACGAAGCGUGAGUGACGGUAAUGGGUAAAGAAGCACCGGCUAACUACGUG
rnacentral:rRNA from 1 species